GGAAGCAUUUGGAAAGUCAUCUUAUUUCCUCUUAUAGUGUCAUCUCCAGAUGCCUCUGUGUGAGGCAAGUUAAUAAGGCAGCCUUUCCGGGAAGAGGGGGGCAUAAUACCAGCCGCCAUUACUGAGCAGACAGCAUGGACCAGGGACUCUCCUAGAGAUUCUGAUGUAAUGAACUCAGGAUGUGCGGCCGAGGCUGAGACCCCUUGCAGAUGGACAUGUGCGAAGUGUCUGGAGCAUAGGGCAGGAGGAUUCAUUGGCUGGGGGGUGACAGGACAUGACAGCUUUGAGCUAAGAUUUGAAGGAUGAAUAGGAGUUUCCCAGACACACAAAUCAGUUGAUGAAUUGCUUCGCUUGAAGUGGCAGUGCCCAUACUGUGCCAGCCUCUGGGGAUGCAAAGAGGAAUAAAGCCACCCCUUGACCUUAUGGAGACACACAUGGAAACAGCCAUUUGUGAUCAAAAGUGGCAAAUGUGUAAACCCCCCACCAAAUGGAAGAUGUUAGCUGCUGGAUGCCCAUGAGCACAUAGCCGCAGGCCUCCAGGAGCCUAAGGA